rnacentral:lncRNA from 1 species
CUGGCCCUGGGUAGAAGUCUCCAGAGGACACUCAAAAAUCUGCCUCCCAUACAAUAUUUACAAUGUGCAGUGGGAAAAAAAAAGCUUUUUUUUUUUUUUUUUUUUUUCUUCUUUUUUUUUUUUUUUUUUUUCUUUUUUUUUUUUUUUUUUUUUAGAGGUGGCUUCCGUCCAUGAGGAGAAAAACACCAACAGGGCCUGGCUGGCAAGGAGACCAGCUCCAUGGAAGUCCCUAUCCAGCCCAUGUGCAGAGCUGGAAGCAUCUGCCAGAGCAGAAAGAAGGACUGAAGUGUCAACAUUUGUUUUCCAUUAACUUGUGAAAACAUAGACAGCUAUUGUUAAAGCUGGAGACUUCCUGCUAUUUGGCUUGGAGGAAAAAGCAAGUGGGUGCUCAUGCUGAGCAGUUGUAGCCAACAAAGUUGUGCUCCAUGGACAUUGUUGCCAAGUCCCCUGUGCUGGUGGUGGGUGCUCUUUCGAGUGCACAGGGCUCAUAUCUUAUUAGUUCAGUCUUA